rnacentral:rRNA from 1 species
GGAGUUUGGGCCGUGUCUCAGUCCCAAUGUGGCCGAUCACCCUCUCAGGUCGGCUACCGAUCGUCGACUUGGUGGGCCGUUACCUCACCAACUAUCUAAUCGGACGCGAGCCCACCCUUCACCGGAUUGCUCCUUUGACCCCUGGAAGAUGUCUCCCUGUGGUCUUAUGCGGUAUUAGUACAACUUUCGCUGUGUUAUCCCCCUCGUGAAGGACAGGUUGCUCACGCGUUACUCACCCGUCCGCCGCUAGAACAUACAUCUUCGUCUCCAUCCGAAAACUUUGACUCCGUCGCAUGUCCCCGCUCGACUUGCAUGUGUUAGGCACGCCGCCAG